rnacentral:tRNA from 1 species
UCAGCUUUGGCACAGUAAGUAGCGCGUCAGUCUCCAAGCUGAAGGUCCCGAGUUCGAUUCUCGGAAGGAGGG